UGGGCAACCUGCCCCUAGCUCUGGGAUAACUCCGGGAAACCAGGGCUAGUACCGGAUAUGACCACGGUGGACAUCCACUGUGGUGGAGAGCUCCGACGGCUAGGGAUGGGCCCGCGGCCUAUCAGCUUGUUGGUGGGGUAACGGCCCACCAAGGCGACGACGGGUAGCCGACCUGAGAGGGCGACCGGCCACACUGGGACUGAGACACGGCCCAGACUCCUACGGGAGGCA
rnacentral:rRNA from 1 species